rnacentral:rRNA from 1 species
UACGGAGGUGGCAAGCGUUGCUCGGAAUCACUGGGCGUAAAGGGCGCGUAGGCGGGGAGGUAUGUCGGGUGUGAAAUCCCUCGGCCCAACCGAGGAACUGCGCCCGAGACUGCUUCUCUUGAGUCCCGGAGAGGAAGGUGGAAUUCCCGGUGUAGCGGUGAAAUGUGUAGAGAUCGGGAGGAACACCGGUGGCGAAGGCGGCCUUCUGGACGGUGACUGACGCUGAGGCGCGAAAGCGUGGGGAGCAAACGGG